GGUGAACAUCGGCGAGACAAGAAGAGGUCCGGUUCCCGCCGAGGGUUGCAGGUGCCCAUCCACCCAAGCCGUCCGCGGUCUGAGUGUCAACUCUGAAAUUUGUGACUUAAUGUUUCUCCAUUCUGGCCGCUGUCUCCUCUAUUUCUUGAGGCUCUUCGGCUCUUCAUCGUACCUCCUUUGUCACGGCGUUCCACGAAAAGUCGAACGCGUUCGACAGAAGACAUUUGGGGGGUUGCGGCCGGAGGGUGCAGGCGGACUGGCGGUCAAGACUUUUCAGACAGAGAGCGUUUUCUCUUCUGACAAGGCGACGUUCUCUGUCGGCUUUCAACUGGAGCUACGUUUGCCUGUGCGGUUCCUCGAAAAAGCGAGAAAUUCCUCUUUGCCAUCGCAGGUAGGCGCGCCCUCUGGGAGCGUCCGGUCCGCGCUGUCUCCGUCUCGCCCGGCGAUCGACAACGUCCUCACACAAAACGUGUGCAGUUUUCGUUCUUUGUCCAGCGCGGAUGAACUUUCGAAACCGAAAAACGCAGUUCACGAGCGUUUCCUGGAUGCACACAAACUGAGACGCUCUCAUGGUCAGACCUCGCACCGGCGUUCGUUGUGCACAGGGGGCUUGGGCUCUCGAGCUUCCGGUUUUGACAGAGCCAGUUUAUUGUGGCCGCUUCACGAGAGAAGCCGGUCAUGCGCAAGCCGCAUUUCUUUCACCGUUUUUGUGUUUUUUCUCGUUUCUCAGUUUCUGUGUUUGGACACUGCUCGCUGCUUCGGAGGGAAAGGAACUCGAUGCGGGUCGUGAACUCAGCUGAACAGCGCAACGCGGUCGAGACCACGGAUGCAUCGAACCGUCGAAAAGAAAUUUCUCGGUUCGGUCAGGUGACACCGACGACCGAACCGGAUGCGAACAGACACAAGCAGAGUCGACAAAAGCUCUGGAUUCUCCACUUCACAACCCAAGACAGAUCACAGGCUCGGACCUUUCUCAAAGGAGCCUAGUCUCUGAAAAAGAGUCCCCGUCUCCCCGCCAACAGCCUGCCUGCUCACAGAAACUCAAUCAGCGAAGGACUGAGAGGAGUCGCCUCUCAGACAGGAUCAGUUACAGGCGUUUUCUCUCGGACGCGUUCAGGUCGCGAGGUGGACUUGGGCUUUAGAUCUUCAAGGUCUUUGUUUGCCCGGAUCCGAACUGUGUUGUGCCAUUGAGUUCACCAGUUCACCGCGUCUUCAAAGACUCGGGAACAUGUGUCUGUCUGUCUCGUAGGUGUGAACAGGUUCGACGCCAGCAAUCGCACCCUUCCUCUUUUCUUUUAUUCCGCCGCUGGUCUGAAUGGACUUUGCUGCUCGCUGCGGAAGUCGAUACUUCUUUCCUGCCUUCUUUCCAGUCUUCUCCAGCCGAUCGUUUUAAGAGUCACGGCUCCUUUCUGUCUCGAACACACCUCGUUGCAACGCAUGUCAAAACUGUUGCACUCCACCGGCGCAGACGUUCCUUUCCGCGACGUGGUUUUUCGAAACAGCCUUUCUGUUCCCGUGUGUGUCUCUGUGUCAAGACAAACUUACGGCUCUCAAAAACACUGGAAGCGCGUCUCUCCAAGAACGGAUCAACGCAGUUCCUUGUACAACCUCGCAUGUAUGCGUCUACACGUCCUCUGGGAAGUCGUCUAUUGAUUCAGCGCUCUCUGGAGCUCUGGGGAGGCGAAUCUGCGCCGAUAGAAAGCAGCAGAGACCUACAUGUUCGCGUUCGCCUGCCCCGAAACCCACUGACACAUACAAACAUAAACACAAGGAUAUAAACAUGCAUC
rnacentral:lncRNA from 1 species